UUAACAUGUCAAAGUUUUUAAUUGAUCUCAGGACAAGUGAUGAUUGGUGGCGUAGUAGUAAAUCCAGAGAUUUAAAAUCAUAUUUUUCUACACCACGAUCAAAGUGUGAUUAAACUUGAAUAUAUAUUAGUGUUUACGUUACAUGUAGUUUCGAACACGGAAAACGUGAAAGCAUGUACUUUGGUUGGAUAUCCACUAUUUGGAUAGUUUUCUUAUGUAGACGUUAAGUUUUUGAGACAAUAUCAAAUGUAACCUGUAAUGCGCAGAAAUUAGUUAUUUACUGUAAAUUUCAUGAUCAUAUACAACUUGAAAUGUUAUUUAUAACGG
rnacentral:lncRNA from 1 species